rnacentral:rRNA from 1 species
UACGAAGGGGGCUAGCGUUGCUCGGAAUUACUGGGCGUAAAGCGCACGUAGGCGGCUCUUUAAGUCGGAGGUGAAAUCCUGGAGCUCAACUCCAGAACUGCCUUCGAUACUGAAGAGCUCGAGUCCGGGAGAGGUGAGUGGAACUGCGAGUGUAGAGGUGAAAUUCGUAGAUAUUCGCAAGAACACCAGUGGCGAAGGCGGCUCACUGGCCCGGUACUCGACGCUGAGGUGCGGAAAGCGUGGGGAGCAAACAGGG